CAAAUACUGCCUCCGUCCAGAAAUACUUGUCAUAGAAAUGGAUGUAUCUGGAUGUAUUUUAGUUCUAGAUACAUCCAUUUUUACUAAUUUGUGCAACAAGUAAUUCUGAACGGAGGUAAUACUAU
rfam:Hordeum vulgare subsp. vulgare, WGS project CAJW01000000 data, contig: morex_contig_1729062